rnacentral:rRNA from 1 species
CAUUUUGAACUGCAUGGUUCGAAAUUGAAAGGCGGCUUCGGCUGUCACUUAUGGAUGGACCCGCGUCGCAUUAGCUAGUUGGUGAGGUAACGGCUCACCAAGGCAACGAUGCGUAGCCGACCUGAGAGGGUGAUCGGCCACACUGGGACUGAGACACGGCCCAGACUCCUACGGGAGGCAGCAGUAGGGAAUCUUCCGCAAUGGACGAAAGUCUGACGGAGCAACGCCGCGUGAGUGAUGAAGGCUUUCGGGUCGUAAAACUCUGUUGUUAGGGAAGAACAAGUGCUAGUUGAAUAAGCUGGCACCUUGACGGUACCUAACCAGAAAGCCACGGCUAACUACGUGCCAGCAGCCGCGGUAAUACGUAGGUGGCAAGCGUUAUCCGGAAUUAUUGGGCGUAAAGCGCGCGCAGGUGGUUUCUUAAGUCUGAUGUGAAAGCCCACGGCUCAACCGUGGAGGGUCAUUGGAAACUGGGAGACUUGAGUGCAGAAGAGGAAAGUGGGAAUUCCAUGUGUAGCGGUGAAAUGCGUAGAGAUAUGGAGGAACACCAGUGGGCGAAAGGCGACUUUCUGGUCUGUAACUGACACU